GUUGCUUCUUGUGCUUGUCCUCAAUCUGGCAACCCGCGUAAACGUCGAGUCUGCGGAGGAGGGGGCGGGGGCGGGAAACAAUGCUCUCCAAAAUUUUGAAUUUGGAAUGCAGCACCCAUUUCAACCGUUGGUUAUCAAUAGUACCGCGGCACCUUUGAGAUUUAGCAUUUAGCGUUAUAGCCUACUUACACUUCACCAUCUGUGGUUGAAACAUAAAAAUACGUUAUUUUACGUCAGUUGUGUUUCUGCGAUAGUUUGCGUAGUUUCCAUAGUUACCAGUAAUCGCCAUAUCAGCGCGGAUCUGUCACCAGACUGUGCGAAAAUUUUCCAAUAAAUCGUAUAAAACAAAAAAGACAUCAUCAGAGCAACACCUGGGACAUCAGGCACACCAGGAACGGUCUCUUUCCCAGAGUGCCGCGCAGCAGUGCCCGCCUAGCUUUGGCACCUCAGCUGUCAGCCCGCUCUGCUGAUGAGGAGAAUGUGUGGGGCGAUGAAGUCGAUAAUGAAGAUUUAGAUUUACUCUGAAAUGGUUUCAUGUGGGGUUUCUCGCUCUCUCUGCGGAGCUUUAGAGCUGAAGCCUCUGAAUGGCAGUAUCUGAGUCAGCCAAGACUUCAAAAGGGGGCUUUGUGAAAUCUGUCAAGGAUUUGCCUCUAAUGAGAGUUUGCCCACUUGAUGAGGGACGCCCACUUCCUCUGCACUAAAUGCCAUAUUCAUUACCUGCUUGUCUCUGAUAUUGUGCUCUUUGUCUCUGACUUGCUGUAUUCUGUGUAAUCUGCCACUCCAGAUCAAAGUGAUCUGAUCUUUAUGCUCUCUAAAUGCAUAAUGAUCCUUACAGAUGGAUAGAAACUAAUUAACUUUAUAAACUAACUAACUCUAAAAUCAAAAUAAUAAAACAUAUAUAGACUAUGACA
ensembl:lncRNA